GGCCCGAUGGCGCAAUGGUAGCGCGUCAGAUUCCAGCGAAUCUAUUUCGAGUCUCCUGAAGGUUAGGCGUUCAAAUCGCCUUCGGGUCA
rnacentral:tRNA from 1 species